rnacentral:lncRNA from 1 species
CAUCCACAUGCCAAAGAUCAAGCUCUUCUCCAGCACUGCCUCUAACAUCGACAAGACCAACUCUGCCUAUAAGGCCACAAAAGUAGCCCACAGGGAUCUUCAUUGCCUUAUCCUCGAUCGAGAGAAUUGAUCUCUCUUAAGUAUUUUUGUCGGAAACACCAAGACUUGGCCGAUAUAUACUCACAGCAGUUCUACCUCAAAG